rnacentral:lncRNA from 1 species
UGAUUAACCCUGUGAAUUUCCUUCUCCUGGCUCAGAAGCUCCCCCACUGAGCACCUUGUGACCCCCGCCCCUGCCCACCAGAGAACAACCCCCUUUGACUACGCGCAUGAAAUUUGGUGCUGUGACUCGGAUCGGGGGACCUCCCUUGGGAGAUCAAUCCCCUGUCCUCCUGUUCUUUGCUCCGUGAGAAAGAUCCACCUACGACUCAGGUCCUCAGACCGACCAGCCCAAGGAACAUCUCACCAAUUUUAAAUCAGGUAAGCGGCCUCUUCUUACUCUCUUUCUCCAACCUCUCUCACUGUCCCUCAACCACUUUCUUCUUUCCACUCUUCAUUCUCUCCCUUCUCUUAAUUUCA